UACAGAGGUCCCAAGCGUUGUUCGGAUUCAUUGGGCGUAAAGGGUGCGUAGGCGGCGCGGUAAGUCGGGUGUGAAAUCUCGGAGCUUAACUCCGAAACUGCAUUCGAUACUGCCGUGCUUGAGGACUGGAGAGGAGACUGGAAUUUACGGUGUAGCGGUGAAAUGCGUAGAGAUGCGGAGGAACACCGAUGGCGAAGGCAGCCCCCUGGGCCAAUACUGACGCUCAGGCACGAAAGCGUGGGGAGCAAACAGG
rnacentral:rRNA from 1 species